UCAAGAUAAGAUUUCCCACCGCAAGGGUAAGACCCCAGACAGACUAUCUGGUUGAUAGGUCGAAGGUGUAAGUGCAGCAAUGUAUUUAGCUUAUCGAUACUAAUAGGUCGAGGACUUGACCAA
rnacentral:rRNA from 1 species